rnacentral:rRNA from 1 species
ACGAACGCUGGCGGCGUGCCUAAUACAUGCAAGUCGAGCGGACUUAAAAAGCUUGCUUUUUAAGUUAGCGGCGGACGGGUGAGUAACACGUGGGCGACCUGCCUGUAAGACUGGGAUAACUUCGGGAAACCGGAGCUAAUACCGGAUAAUCCUUUUCUACUCAUGUAGAAAAGCUGAAAGACGGUUUACGCUGUCACUUACAGAUGGGCCCGCGGCGCAUUAGCUAGUUGGUGAGGUAACGGCUCACCAAGGCGACGAUGCGUAGCCGACCUGAGAGGGUGAUCGGCCACACUGGGACUGAGACACGGCCCAGACUCCUACGGGAGGCAGCAGUAGGGAAUCUUCCGCAAUGGACGAAAGUCUGACGGAGCAACGCCGCGUGAGUGAUGAAGGUUUUCGGAUCGUAAAACUCUGUUGUUAGGGAAGAACAAGUACGAGAGUAACUGCUCGUACCUUGACGGUACCUAACCAGAAAGCCACGGCUAACUACGUG